rnacentral:lncRNA from 1 species
UUAAAGUCUUCGUUGUUAAUUGAGAAAUCUUAAAAGAAACUUUCAUGUUUGGUGAAGACAACAUACGGUAAAGUUGACAAUUCCUUUAAGGUUCUGUUUGGUCAUAUUGCACCGCAUGUAUUCAGGUUUUGAUACAUCCUUGACUUUCAUGUGCUUCGACUUAAAUGUUACAGAAGAAGAUUUAUCAAGAAGAAGAAAAACGCUACGGACCCGCGAUAUCUAUAAAAUGUAAUAUUCAGUUACUUGUAUUUAGUUGAUAGCACUACUGGCGUAGUAGUUCCUCGUAAUAUCAUCGGCUCAGUAUUCAGUCCUUUAGUAUUGAGAUGCAUGAUUUAUAACAUGAUAAAAUCUCCGUUGAUAAAAUAAGAAGUUAUAAAGAAACACCCAC